rnacentral:tRNA from 1 species
GCGCCGAUAGUCUAGUCUGGUAGGACUUCACCCUCCCAAGGUGAUAGCCCGGGUUCAAAUGAAAAUCUCUCUCGAGAAGUUCUGAAAAUCCCGGUUGGCGCA